rnacentral:tRNA from 1 species
GCUGUGAUGGCGAGUGGUUAAGGCGUUGGACUUGAAAUCAAUGGGGUUUCCCAGCGCGGAGGUUCGAACCCUGCUCACAGCG